CUACGUGCCAGCAGCCGCGGUAAUACGUAGGGCGCGAGCGUUGUCCGGAAUUAUUGGGCGUAAAGAGCUUGUAGGCGGUUGGUCGCGUCUGCUGUGAAAGGCUGGGGCUUAACCCUGGUUUUGCAGUGGGUACGGGCUAACUAGAGUGCAGUAGGGGAGACUGGAAUUCCUGGUGUAGCGGUGGAAUGCGCAGAUAUCAGGAGGAACACCGAUGGCGAAGGCAGGUCUCUGGGCUGUAACUGACGCUGAGAAGCGAAAGCAUGGGGAGCGAACAGGAUUAGAUACCCUGGUAGUCCAUGCCGUAAACGUUGGGCACUAGGUGUGGGGAACAUUCCACGUUUUCCGCGCCGUAGCUAACGCAUUAAGUGCCCCGCCUGGGGAGUACGGCCGCAAGGCUAAAACUCAAAGAAAUUGACGGGGGCCCGCACAAGCGGCGGAGCAUGCGGAUUAAUUCGAUGCAACGCGAAGAACCUUACCAAGGCUUGACAU
rnacentral:rRNA from 1 species